CCUGCGCGGCGGGCGGGGGCGGGAGGCGUGGGGACCCUGGCGGCGUGCGGGGCGAGCCCUCUAGGAGCCCAGCCUGCGGCGGCGCCCCGGGGCAUCCCCGGGCCCGCCACCAGGGGUUCCCCGGGCCCGUUUCACAGAUGGGGACACGGAGGCUCCGAGGUCACAGAGAUAGGCCACGGUUUUCCAGGAAGGAAGGAGCCGACGCGAGAAUCCUUCCUGCCUACUAUCCUUUGCUCUGGCUGGAGGCGUGAAGGCGGGGUGGGAGGGUGAUGGCGCUGAACCCGGAGAAGCUCAGGGGUUGGUAGCUCCUGCCCCCCGGAAUCUCUAGUCCUCUCUGCUGCAGAAGAGAAAAUAGAACAUCCCCUGGGUCCCCAGAGUUGACCUGCAUCAGUCACCACUGUCCCUGAAGCCCCCACCAUGGGCACCGGGCUGGAGGGUGGGGUAUCGGAGGAAACAUGCAAAUCCCAAGAACUCCCGCCCCCCCCCCCAUGUCACCUGUUUCAGACCAGCCCCUUGUGCAGGGGAGCAGAACAGCCCAGCUGACUCUGGAAAAUGCUUCCAAUCCCUGGCAGGAAAUGGCUGGCAAGGUGCCUCAAGAAAAACUCAAAGCGUUUAGGAAAGUUGAAAUAUGGCAGACUCUACCCCAGUCAAUCAGAACAAGAGCUAAGAGAGAAGUCAUGGAAAUGGGUAUAGUGAAGAUGCUCAAACAUGCCUAGAGGCUUUUAGCAAUGCGGAUUCCCCAGCACAGGCCUGAUCACAGAUCUUGAGUAGGCGGAUGUGGAGCACGGCCCAGGAAUGUGCAUUUGUUACAGGCGUGGCAACCCCCUGACUUACGCAGUAGAACUGCAGAGACCUUCCCUGGAGCCUUGCCAUAGAAAUCUCUUCCAGGGCCUCACCCAGCCUGGAAGGUUCUGCCUGGGUCAAUUCUGCACAACCAGAAAGACCCCAGGCAUAAAGUUUGAGGAGUGACCACAGAAACUAGGGCCUGAUUAGUAAUAGCUUCACAGGAACAGGGAGGGUCAGGCUCAAUUCCCCAAGGCCUUUCUACCCCAGGGCCUUUGCACUUACUGUUUCCUCUCCCUAGAAACUACUGGCACCAGAGAUCUCCUUCACCUCCUUUAGAUUUUACUCAAAUGCCACCUCACUUAAAAUUCUUUAAAAAAAAAACAACAAAACAACCCAAUAGACAAGAAGGAGCAACAAGACAAGAACAAAACAAAAUAAAAACCCUGACACUCUAUCCCUCUUCUGCUCAUCUUACCGCUUGUCAUUUCACAUAUUAUCUUAUUUAUUUAUCUCAUUUGUCUAUCUCUCUGCCCCACCCUCUAUUAGAAACUAAGCUCCACGAGGGCAGGGAUUUUAUUAUUCUGUUCAGUUCACUGCUGGAUCACCAGUACCUAGAACGGUGCCUGAGUGCGAGAGUGAGCAGGGGUGGCCCUUGACAUCCGCCCACAGCUGCCUGGCCUCCUGCCUUCUUGGGCUGCUGAUCCGAUCUGUCCUUAUCCCAGGACGUGGGCUUGUCUAACCACCUGCCUGGACGGUGGGCUCACGGGAGGCCUGAGCACCACCCCUACCUGCACCCCCACCUCCAUGCUUGCCUUUAGUCCAGUUCUCAUCCUCAAUACGAGUGGAGGGGGUAGACUUGCUUACCGCCAGGCAGGCCAUGAGCUGGAGCAACCCAUGGGGCCCGAUCGGCUUUCAGAGGUCAUCUCUCAGUGAAGAACGUUGAACCGAGAGCACAGCCGACUUUCAGACCCGCUGGAGCAGAGAUUGCUGAAUCUGGACUCGACUCCCCUCCCCACAACAUGCCGCCGUCGUCUCAAAGGGAGCGUGUCCCAUUUUAAUUUCAAAAGGAAAAUAAAACACCCCAGUAACUUGA